rnacentral:lncRNA from 1 species
AAUAACACAAGCAUACUAUUAGGAAUGAAUAUCAAACAUGAGCAAUGGAGAUACACAUUAUUUGCUUAUAUGGUCAUCGCAACAAAAAUAUUUUCUAGUGCUUAUGUUCAGAACUGUUUGUAGACCUGCAUCAUCACAACCAAAUGUGCUACAAUACAUUUGGAAGCAAUCUGCUAACUUUUAAGAACUGGGGACAACAAAAGGAGUACAUGAUAACCACUUGGUGCUGCUAUUUUCAUGGUAUUGUCUAAGCUAGUAUGAAAAGUAUUUGUCCUAAAAAAUUAAUGUACAAGGAUGAUAACUUUGCCACAUCACCACGUGAGAAAAGAGCAAGCAUAGCUUGUGUAAUGCACUGCUUAGAGAACCUGAUCUGGGCUAUAGGUUAGACCGUUCUCCUCUGCAUAUCAAUAAACAAACAACAAGGAAGUCAAUUAGACUACUUAUUCAAUAUGGCUAUUCCAAAAACGAGAAAUUCAUCUACGUGCACGCACCCGGAAGCUUGUUGUUGAUAGCCUUCAUCGGCUCCAUACUCUCGGCAUUAGCGGGGUACCUUGUCUAACUUGCUACAACUACAACACACAUGCAUGUAGAAUGUAUUACCCUACAAUCUACUCUCAAGUCUCAAUGAUACAAAGGGAAACCUGAGGCAUAAGAAUCCCAUCCUCGCUGACAACAUUACAUUCCCUCUUUGGUUCAGUUUUUCGUACUCACUCUAACGAAGGAUAUACACUCCAACAGUUAUUAAUAAAGGACAUUUCAGAUGGUAUAGUCUGCAACAUUCAAGAUUACACUUCACAUGAAUAUGUUAAUAAAAAUAAUGAAUUAUGAAAUAAUCAACACCAUGUGGGCGAAAUAAAUCAAUGGCACGAUCAGUUUCCCAUUUUUUGCAAAUUGAAGAAAUGACAACAUUGUAAAACACUACACCAGACCUUGCCGCGGCAUCUCGGAUACUGUCAAGUGUCAAGCAUCUGAAUAAAUCAUGGUGCUUAUACUUUCAUGUAUACUCAAGUCCUUUGCUAACCUGGUAAAUAAAAUAAAAUAAAAUAAACCUUGUGCUAAAAACUAUUGACUUCUUAUGUACCCAAAGUGGAAAACCAAAAAAACAAAAAAGGGCUAGCAGUCAUGAGUUCACAACACAUCACGCCUAGUUGUCUAAAUGUUUAUGUCACAAAAGACUGUAGAAGUGUGUUGUUACGAAGAAGUAAAUGGAAUCACAAAAGCAAAAGCACAAGUGCUUGACAGCUUCAUUUAUCCAUGAGUGAUUGCAAAGUUGCCCCACUCUAAUAUAUGAGACAAGAGAGAUCUACAGAAAAAAAGACAGUACAGAACUUGCUUCUGAACUUAACAUUGUAGACCAUAGAUCUAAUUUGGAAGUCCAAAGUCUAAACACAAUAGUCAAAAGGAAGAAAUGGCUAUACAAAAAUGGUACAUACAUAAUUUGCUUAUCCAGUACAGAGAUCCCCUUAAAAUAGCAAAUGGCCUCGUAUUGCAAACUAACCUUUCUUAUCUAGUACAGAAAAUUCAUGGGAAAAUAAUAUUUACCAAAUACAUAAACCUAGACUACACUACGAGAUCAACAUGAGCAUCGGAUGGAUAUAGUAAAUUACCAUUCAUAGUAGUUGGGAACCAUUGAAGAUAGUAAAUUACCUCAUGACAUACUUGAGCAACGCGUAUAAAUCUCCUAUAGUCAAGCAGAAGGAGUAAUUUAGGUGCCCGUACAGUGAUCGCAACCCUCCACGUGAUUUAGGACAGAAGAAUCUAUCCAUGUAGAUGACAAGAGUACUAAUCAAAAGGGAGACGAAAGGCAAUCUGUAAGAUAUAAUUCCCAGAUCACAUAGCAAACAAAUGUUGCAUGAUUAAUUUAGUUAACCCCUUACCAUCACACAUCUCUACUUGUCUUCCUCGCCAUCUCCAUUAGCACAUCCCAUGCGAUCGAACAAACCAUUUAGCAGAG